UACGUAGGGGGCAAGCGUUGUCCGGAAUUAUUGGGCGUAAAGAGCGUGUAGGCGGUCCGGUAAGUCGGCCGUGAAAGUCCAGGGCUCAACCCUGGGAUGCCGGUCGAUACUGCCGGACUAGAGUUCGGAAGAGGCGAGUGGAAUUCCCGGUGUAGCGAUGAAAUGCGCAGAUAUCGGGAGGAACACCUAUGGCGAAGGCAGCUCGCUGGGACGUUACUGACGCUGAGACGCGAAAGCGUGGGGAGCAAACAGG
rnacentral:rRNA from 1 species